rnacentral:rRNA from 1 species
GACGAACGCUGGCGGCGUGCUUAACACAUGCAAGUCGAACGGAAAGGCCCUGCUUUUGUGGGGUGCUCGAGUGGCGAACGGGUGAGUAACGCGUGAGUAACCUGCCCUUGACUUUGGGAUAACUUCAGGAAACUGGGGCUAAUACCGGAUAGGAGCUCCUGCUGCAUGGUGGGGGUUGGAAAGUUUCGGCGGUUGGGGAUGGACUCGCGGCUUAUCAGCUUGUUGGUGGGGUAGUGGCUUACCAAGGCUUUGACGGGUAGCCGGCCUGAGAGGGUGACCGGCCACAUUGGGACUGAGAUACGGCGCAGACUCCUACGGGAGGCAGCAGUGGGGAAUAUUGCACAAUGGGCGGAAGCCUGAUGCAGCAACGCCGCGUGCGGGAUGACGGCCUUCGGGUUGUAAACCGCUUUCGCCUGUGACGAAGCGUGAGUGACGGUAAUGGGUAAAGAAGCACCGGCUAACUACGUG